UACAGAGGGUGCAAGCGUUGUUCGGAAUUAUUGGGCGUAAAGCGCGUGUAGGCGGCUUUGCAAGUCGGGUGUGAAAGCCCUCGGCUCAACCGAGGAAGUGCGCCCGAAACUGCAGAGCUUGAGUGCCGGAGAGGAUGGCGGAAUUCCCCAAGUAGAGGUGAAAUUCGUAGAUAUGGGGAGGAACACCGGUGGCGAAGGCGGCAUCCUGGACCAAUUCUGACGCUGAGGAGCGAAAGCCAGGGGAGCAAACGGG
rnacentral:rRNA from 1 species